rnacentral:rRNA from 1 species
UACGUAGGGUGCAAGCGUUGUCCGGAAUUAUUGGGCGUAAAGAGCUCGUAGGCGGUCUGUCGCGUCGAAUGUGAAAACCCGGGGCUCAACCCCGGGCCUGCAUUCGAUACGGGCAGACUAGAGUUCGGUAGGGGAGUCUGGAAUUCCUGGUGUAGCGGUGAAAUGCGCAGAUAUCAGGAGGAACACCGGUGGCGAAGGCGGGACUCUGGGCCGAUACUGACGCUGAGGCGCGAAAGCGUGGGGAGCAAACAGG